CUAAUUACAUCUGUCUUCACCGUUAUCUAAAGUCUUCCAGGACGUUCUCAUUUUAAAAGCUUUUAAAAGAGAAAUGACCCCUUAAUCAAAGGUGGUUCCCCACUCGAAGUCAGGAGACGAUCCUCUCAAUUCUGCUCCUCCUACAGACAAACAGCCACCCAGGCGCACCCCAUCUCCAUGGACAGGACAGGAGCAGAGACAAAAUACCCUUUAAUAAAGUCACCCAAACUUUAAAGUCAAAGAGGUAUACUUCCCAUCCUUAAGAUACUAUAGGAAUCGAAGAGUGACAGUCCCUAAACUUCUUUAAGAGUCCUUAAACAGAAGCUAAACUUCUUUAAGAGUCCUUAAACAGAAGCAGACUCUGCUCACUCCUAAUUUUCUUAGAAAAAUUUCUAACAUGCCUUUUAAAUCACUUCAAUCUCAGAUUCGCAAUCUCCCCUAAGUCCCCCAAAGGCGCAUACACUCCCCCAUCAUGUGCAAAAAGAUCUCAGAGCAAACCUCUUAGACCCCUGCAACCACUUAAACCACUCUCCUGCACCAAGUUUCUGCUCGCUUCCAGCCCCAACUCAAAAUUCCCACAGGGACAAUCUCGGUUUUCGGUUUUUUCUGCACGCCCGCGUUUUCCUGAGUACGGGGUGACACCUCUCCCUCCCCCACUGCCGCCCGACCGCCCCCGCGCCUAGUUUUAAAAGAACUUAAAACUUCACUCCAGAGUCCCGUGACUGCUAGGGGCUGUGCUCACAUUCUCAUCUCCAGAGAGGUCCGGGUUGCUGUUCUCGUCGCUACUCAGCUUUUGCUUCUUGGCCGUAGGCAUGUCUGUUCCCGCCGGCGCUGUCGACACUUCCCUCUCGGACAUAUUCCUCCGCCUCCCUCCAGGUUCCUGCCGCCUCGGGCGGGGCCUCCGCCACACCGCCGUCAAGCAAGCUCGUCCGGAGCUUGCCGCAAAGCUGCCACUGCCGCCGCCACCUCCACCGCUCCCCCCACUGUCGCAAAUCGCGCCCAGCCGCCGAGGCGGGCGAGCGUGCGACCCCGCCACACUGCUGAAAAAGGGGCGCGCUCGCGCGCCCUCCUGCGCGGCUUCCUGGCUCCUUCCCUUUCUCUACAGCCGUCUUGCCGUUUUCCCGCCGCCCUCUCGGCAGUUUGCACGGAGGUGUAUGAUCUGCUGGUUUAAGAGGGCAAUAUUUCGUAUGUCCCCCUUCCUCACCACCGCCUCGAAAAGAAGAGGCGGAACUCAAAGGGAUGCUCCCUCACCCACUUCUUCCUUCCAAAGUCCUUUCAUCCGCAAUUGGCUCAAUCCUUCGAUCUCCGACCUGCUGCAAAGGAGCGAAAGUCUGUGGAAUGGACUAGACCACCAGUGUCCCAAAGGAGGGGAGAAACAUAAGAAAUUACCUCUUGCUUUAGCUGUGUAUGCAAAGGGCCUCAAUAUUGGACUUGGAAGGUGA
rnacentral:lncRNA from 1 species